AUGGCACUUUCUCCGGAAUCGCUGUACAUCGUUGAUGCUUUCAGUUUAACCCUUUUCUAGCAAAUGUCUGUGUGGUGAUA